rnacentral:rRNA from 1 species
GACGAACGCUGGCGGCGUGCCUAAUACAUGCAAGUCGAACGCACAGUUUAUACCGUAGCUUGCUACACCAUAAACUGUGAGUUGCGAACGGGUGAGUAACGCGUAGGUAACCUGCCUGGUAGCGGGGGAUAACUAUUGGAAACGAUAGCUAAUACCGCAUAAUAUUAAUUAUUGCAUGAUAAUUGAUUGAAAGAUGCAAUUGCAUCACUACCAGAUGGACCUGCGUUGUAUUAGCUAGUAGGUGAGGUAACGGCUCACCUAGGCGACGAUACAUAGCCGACCUGAGAGGGUGAACGGACACACUGGGACUGAGACACGGCCCAGACUCCUACGGGAGGCAGCAGUAGGGAAUCUUCGGCAAUGGACGAAAGUCUGAACGAGCAACGCCGCGUGAGUGAAGAAGGUUUUCGGAUCGUAAAGCUCUGUUGUAAGAGAAGAACGGGUGUGAGAGUGGAAAGUUCACACUGUGACGGUAUCUUACCAGAAAGAGACGGCUAACUACGUG